rnacentral:tRNA from 1 species
CAGAACAUAGCUCAACAUAGAAGAGCAUCUCCCUUACACUGAGAAGUUAUCCGUGCAAAUCGGAUUGUCCUGA